rnacentral:rRNA from 1 species
UACGUAGGGCGCGAGCGUUGUCCGGAAUUAUUGGGCGUAAAGAGCUCGUAGGCGGCUUGUCACGUCGGGUGUGAAAGCCCGGGGCUUAACCCCGGGUCUGCAUUCGAUACGGGCAGGCUAGAGUGUGGUAGGGGAGAUCGGAAUUCCUGGUGUAGCGGUGAAAUGCGCAGAUAUCAGGAGGAACACCGGUGGCGAAGGCGGAUCUCUGGGCCAUUACUGACGCUGAGGAGCGAAAGCGUGGGGAGCAAACAGG